UCUCCGUACCAAGGACGAGCUCCGUCCUCACGGAGGAUACGGCUCCAGCGUCGCUCUGUCGCCAUACGGGUGGGGAACCGUCGGCCAGAAGCAGCGGCAGCCCGAGCUCGAGAGUAAGCGGGGCCCACAUGGCACCGCAGGUGGUGAUGCUGGUCACUAAUGACACCGCACUGGCCAGGCACAGCGAGCCUCAGCACUUUGGUUAACCCAAGUCUUCCAACUGCUGUGACCCAUUCUGCCUCUAGAAAUGAACAAAAUGGAUUACGCUGAAGAGUCUUGUGCUGCGGAUAAGUGGUAAAGAAAUAAUUUCUUAUCUAUGUGAAAAUUGGAUGCCACUUCACUGUAGUUAAACUUACUUUUUCAUAGAAAAAAACAGAGUCUGAAACUUCAGAAAGCUUUCUGCAAUCAAAUGAUGAACACAUGGCCAGCAGCCCAAAAGUUUGCCACUGAAUGAGUGAGAUCAAAUUUAGGACAUCAUUGGAAAGCAGGUGUUAGUCAGGACCCAGGGAAAGGACCCAAGCAAAGCAGUUACUGAUCAUCUAACAACUGUGGGAUGUAAAAAAGAUGGAGGAAUAAAUUAUAGAAGUUUUCCAUGUCUAUCUAAAAACAAAGUGACAGUGUAAGUAGGAGCUAGGGAAUUACCUUCUCAUCAGCAAUGAUGCAGGUCUUUUAAAAGUAACUGGUAACCAAAGCCCAAAGGUAUCAGCUUUUGCAGUAUACCAGGACACAAAUCUGGCCCAAACACACUGCAUCCUGUGAUUCUUAUAUAUAGCAAAUGGCAGCUGAGUGUUCUAUUCUACUUCAAAUGAGCUACAGUAAGCACCAGAACUCCUUGAAGAUGUGCCAGUGACAGAUUUGCACCAAAGGGGACAACCCCAAGGACAGACACACCUUUGUUCCAUCAGCCCAGUGUAUCUGGAAUGGACUGGAACCAGUGGUAUUGUUUCCAUGCAGAUGCCCAUGGAUGUUUCUCCAUUCAAUCCAUUAAGAAAGAAGGAACGGCACGCUUAGCAGAGCCAUUGUCUUCCUCAUUUUCAUGGGGACGCUUUCUCGUUGUGGUUGGCUGGAAGAAAAACACAGGAGGAUGGCUCCAGGAAACCAGUGUCACCUGAUUUGAUUGUGGCUACAUUUGAAUUGAUGGAUAAGGAAACGUCAUCUGAUCAUCCACCGUAAGAUCAGAAAAUACAAACACUGGGAAGGCAAGUGGAG